rnacentral:tRNA from 1 species
GCCCACGUGGCGAAAUUGGUAAACGUUGCGGUCUCAGAAGCCGUUGCCGCAAGGCUUAAGAGUUCGAGUCUCUUCGUGGGCACCA